AGGACGAACGCUGGCGGCGUGCCUAACACAUGCAAGUGGAGCGACGAACCAGGCUUCGGCCUGGGGCAAAGCCGCGAACGGGUGAGUAACACGUGGGUAACCUGCCCCGAUGACCGGGACAACCCGAGGAAACUCGGGCUAAUACCGGAUGUGUCCUCCGGCCAUAAGGCCGCUGGGGAAAGGAAGCUUCGGCCUCCGCAUCGGGAUGGGCCCGCGGCCCAUUAGCUUGUUGGUGAGGUAACGGCUCACCAAGGCGACGAUGGGUAGCUGGUCUGAGAGGACGAUCAGCCACACUGGGACUGAGACACGGCCCAGACUCCUACGGGAGGCAGCAGUGGGGAAUCUUGCGCAAUGCGCGAAAGCGUGACGCAGCAACGCCGCGUGGGGAAGACGGCCUUCGGGUUGUAAACCCCUUUCAGUUGGGACGAAGCUUCGUCGGUGAAUAGCCGACUGGAGUGACGGUACCUUCAGAAGAAGCCCGGCUAACUACGUGCCAGCAGCCGCGGU
rnacentral:rRNA from 1 species